AUGGAGCAGAAGCGGGAUGCGUCUUUUCCACCAGACACUGACGAAGCAGCAGAAGAGGCAAAUUGUGCCUUCUGGCUUGCUGCAGUGAGCCCUGCGUCUUGACCAACAAGAAAGGGAGCAGAUUGUGCUUCCUCUAACGCACAGCAGAUGGCACCAUCUGGUGAAGGGGUGUCACACAGUAUGUUGAUACAAUACGUUGCCUAUUCUCCCUAGUCCUCUCCCUGGUCCUCUCCCUAGUCCUCUCCCUAGUGCUCAGUGUAGUUGCAUGUAGGUGUACACAGAUAUUUUUUGAAGUCGUUGCUCAGUUAUUUGUGUAAUGAUUUCAGUUUGUUCAUGUGGAACAAAAAACAGUGUACCUGUUAGAUCCGAGUGGAUAUGCUGCAGAAAAGAAGGCGUCAAAAAUGGCUGUAAACAAAACUAAAGUAAAUAUUUAUGCUUACAACUCACAUUAUGUAAAAUAAUACAUGUUUUUCCAGGGAAUACCUGCACAUGAGAAGGGUGCGCCACAAAGCAAAAGACUGGAUUGAUAUUGAUUGGGAAGGGGCGGUGAUGAAACAUCCACUGCAAAAGGAUGGAAGCAGUUGUGGUGUCAUCGUAGCCAAGGUAAUUUACGGGAUACAAUUGAGCAUAAUUGGACUUGAAACCUACUCUAUUAACAAAAUUAUGUCUAGAUGGCAAAGGAAAUUAUUCAGACGUUUCUAAGGAUCCCCAAUAUAAUGUUUUCUACAACGACAGACAGCAUGAGAACUGAAAGAAAAACAAUGGCCCUUGAACUUCUGCAGGGAUCAGUUUUCCAAAUGGAUUCCUGGUGUGUGAUCUGUGCCUCCAAAGACCCACCUACAUCUACUGCUGCCACAGCUACAUAGACUGUGAAGAGUGAUACUGGUUGGAUUUAAUGUGACAUAUGUGACCGGUGGUUUCACGGGGAAUGCGUUGGAAUAAAAAUUGACGAUCUCAAGAAAGCGGAAGAUAAUCACUGGCUUUGUCCUCUGUGC